rnacentral:rRNA from 1 species
UACAGAGGGGGCAAGCGUUAUUCGGAAUUAUUGGGCGUAAAGGGCGCGUAGGCGGCUUGGCAAGUGAUGGUGAAAUCCCUCGGCUUAACCGAGGAACUGCCGUCCAAACUGCUUUGCUUGAGACCGGGAGAGGUGAGUGGAAUUCCCAGUGUAGCGGUGAAAUGCGUAGAUAUUGGGAGGAACACCAGUGGCGAAGGCGGCUCACUGGUCCGGUACUGACGCUGAGGUGCGAAAGCGUGGGGAGCAAACAGG